rnacentral:rRNA from 1 species
AGAGUUUGAUCCUGGCUCAGAAUUAACGCUGGCGGCAUGCCUAACACAUGCAAGUCGCACGAGAAACCCCGGUUCGCCGGGGGAGUACAGUGGCGCACGGGUGAGUAACGCGUGGGUAAUCUACCUCCGUCCGGGGGAUAACGCACCGAAAGGUGCGCUAAUACCGCAUAACCCGGCGAAUCUUCGGAUUGGUCGGCAAAGGUGGCCUCUACAUGUAAGCUACCGGAUAGAGAUGAGCCCGCGUCCCAUUAGCUUGUUGGUGAGGUAAAGGCUCACCAAGGCGACGAUGGGUAGCUGGUCUGAGAGGACGAUCAGCCACACUGGAACUGGAACACGGUCCAGACUCCUACGGGAGGCAGCAGUGAGGAAUAUUGCGCAAUGGGGGAAACCCUGACGCAGCGAUGCCGCGUGGGUGAAGAAGGCCUUCGGGUCGUAAAGCCCUGUCAGGCGGGAAGAACGGCUUGGGGAUGAAUAAUCCUCAGGUUUGACGGUACCGCUGAAGGAAGCACCGGCUAACUACGUGCCAGCAGCCGCGGUAAUACGUAGGGUGCGAGCGUUAAUCGGAAUUACUGGGCGUAAAGCGUGCGCAGGCGGUUUUGUAAGUCAGAUGUGAAAGCCCCGGGCUCAACCUGGGAACUGCGUUUGAAACUACAAGGCUAGAGUGUAGCAGAGGGGGGUAGAAUUCCAGGUGUAGCGGUGAAAUGCGUAGAGAUCUGGAGGAAUACCGAUGGCGAAGGCAGCCUUCUGGCCUAAUACUGACGCUGAGGUGCGAAAGCAUGGGGAGCAAACAGGAUUAGAUACCCUGGUAGUCC